GACAGAGGGUGCAAACGUUGUUCGGAAUUACUGGGCGUAAAGCGCGUGUAGGCUGCUCGGCAAGUCGAACGUGAAAUCCCUGGGCUCAACCCAGGAACUGCGUCCGAUACUGGUUGGCUUGAAUCCGGGAGAGGGACGUGGAAUUCCAGGUGUAGCGGUGAAAUGCGUAGAUAUCUGGAGGAACACCGGUGGCGAAGGCGACGUCCUGGACCGGCAUUGACGCUGAGGCGCGAAAGCCAGGGGAGCAAACGGG
rnacentral:rRNA from 1 species